rnacentral:rRNA from 1 species
CAAUAGCAUAUAUUAACGUUGUUGCAGUUGAAAAGCUCGUAGUUGAACUUUUGGUAGGAGCGACCUGGCCUUGGGCGCAUGCCCUUGUUUGCCGUGUGUCGUAUCUGGCCAUCCUUUUCUUCUUUUUGGAAGGAAUCUUUUACUGUGAGUAAACUGGAGUGCUCAAAACAAGACGUUUGUUUGGUACAUUAAAGCAUGGAAUAAUAAGAUAGGACCUGGUUACUAUUUUGUUGGUUUGCAUAGCUAGGUAAUGAUUAACAGGGACAGUUGGGGGUAUUCGUAUUUAAUUGUCAGAGGUGAAAUUCUUGGAUUUAUGAAAGACGAACUUCUGCGAAAGCAUUUGCCAAGGAUGUUUUCAUUAA